UCCAAUGGAUUCUUUUCCACCGGACUUUUAUCACCUUGUUCCACCCGAGAUUUCUCCACCCGACUAUCCUUCAUCCGACCCCUCCGUUCUGAAAUUUAUAGAAUCUUCAAAGAACUAUCUGGCGAGUUUACCUUUCAAGCCAUCGAAAUCAAAAUUCUGUCCCUUGCCUUGUAGCCGAUAUAAAAGAUCAAUUGACAUCAUUAGAGAGGAAAAACCUGAAGAGUACAAAA